GCAUUCGGGUGCCGAAAUGCACCCAUUUUGCAUCAUUUUUCGUUCCGGAACCGAAUGCUCAAAAACACUCCCAAACAUGUUCUAGGGUAUAAUUAGGAAUAUUGCAUGCGUUCGUUGCGAAAAAAUCCACCCGAGUUUCGCUACCUGGCAAUAUGCAUUCGGGUGCCGAAAUGCACCCGUUUUGCAUCAUUUUUCGUUCCGGAACCGAAUGCUCAAAAACACUCCCAAACAUGUUUUAGGGUAUAAUUAGGAAGAUUGCAUGCGUUCGUUGCGAAAAAAUCCACUCGAGUUUCGCUACCCGGCAAUAUGCAAUCGGGUGCCGAAAUGCACCCGUUUUGCAUCAUUUUUCGUUCCGGAACCGAAUGCUCAAAAACACUCCCAAACAUGUUCUAGGGUAUAAUUAGGAAGAUUGCAUGCGUUCGUUGCGAAAAAAUCCACCCGAGUUUCGCUACCCGGCAAUAUGCAAUCGGGUGCCGAAAUGCACCCGUUUUGCAUCAUUUUUCGUUCCGGAACCGAAUGCUAAAAAACACUCCCAAACAUGUUCUAGGGUAUAAUUAUGAAGAUUGCAUGCGUUCGUUGCGAAAAAAUCCACCCGAGUUUCGCUACCCGGCAAUAUGCAUUCGGGUACCGAAAUGCACCCGUAUUGCAUCAUUUUUCGUUCCGGAACCGAAUGCUCAAAAACACUACCAAACAUGUUCUAGGGUAUAAUUAUGAAGAUUGCAUGCGUUCGUUGCGAAAAAAUCUAAUCGAGUUUCGCUACACGGAAAAAGUGCAUUCGGGUGCCGAAAUGCACCCGUUUUGCAUCAUUUUUCGUUCCGGAACCGAAUGCUCAAAAACACUCCCAAACAUGUUCUAGGGUAUAAUUAUGAAGAUUGCAUGCGUUCGUUGCGAAAAAAUCCACCCGAGUUUCGCUAC
rnacentral:lncRNA from 1 species